rnacentral:rRNA from 1 species
GAUGAACGCUGGCGGCGUGCCUAAUACAUGCAAGUCGAGCGAACAGACGAGGAGCUUGCUCCUCUGACGUUAGCGGCGGACGGGUGAGUAACACGUGGAUAACCUACCUAUAAGACUGGGAUAACUUCGGGAAACCGGAGCUAAUGCCGGAUAAUAUAUUGAACCGCAUGGUUCAAUAGUGAAAGACGGUUUUGCUGUCACUUAUAGAUGGAUCCGCGCCGCAUUAGCUAGUUGGUAAGGUAGCGGCUUACCAAGGCAACGAUGCGUAGCCGACCUGAGAGGGGGAUGGGCAACACUGAAAAGGAAACACGGUCAGAACCCCUACGGGGGGCACAGGAAGGAAAUUUUCGGAAGUGGGGGAAAGCUUGAGGGGGAAACGCGGGGGGAGGGAUGAAGGGUUUGGGAUCGUAAAACUGUGUUAUUGGGAAAAAACAAAUGGGAAGGUAACGUUGCAAGUUUGGACGGUACCAAAUAAAAAAGCACCGCCUAACUACGU